CAACCUACCUAUCAGAGGGGAAUAACCCGGCGAAAGUCGGACUAAUACCGCAUAAAACAGGGGCACCGNNUGGUGAUAUUUGUUAAAGAAAUUCGCUGAUAGAUGGGCAUGCGUUCCAUUAGGUAGUUGGUGAGGUAACGGCUCACCAAGCCGACGAUGGAUAGGGGAACUGAGAGGUUGGUCCCCCACACUGGUACUGAGACACGGACCAGACUCCUACGGGAGGCAGCAGUGAGGAAUAUUGGUCAAUGGGCGGGAGCCUGAACCAGCCAAGUCGCGUGAAGGAAGAAGGAUCUAUGGUUCGUAAACUUCUUUUGCAGGGGAAUAAAGUGCAGGACGUGUCCUGUUUUGUAUGUACCCUGAGAAUAAGGAUCGGCUAACUCCGUGCCAGCAGCCGCGGUAAUACGGAGGAUCCGAGCGUUAUCCGGAUUUAUUGGGUUUAAAGGGUGCGUAGGUGGUUUGAUAAGUCAGCGGUGAAAGUUUGCAGCUUAACUGUAAAAAUGCCGUUGAAACUGUCGGACUUGAGUGUAAAUGAGGUAGGCGGAAUGCGUGGUGUAGCGGUGAAAUGCAUAGAUAUCACGAAGAACUCCGAUUG
rnacentral:rRNA from 1 species